UUUGGUUUAUGGCUUUCGCGUUGAUUGUACAAUAUUUUCACCGCUCCGCUGCUUUCGAUUCAUUUUUGCCAUUCGUCCCGGAGGCAAUUUCAAAUUGUUUAUCAGCCUGCAGUCAUCAUACUAUACUUGGGAAUACGUGUGUACACGCAUACGUACAUACUUAUAUAUUUCGUGCAUUUUUCAUUUCCUAUUUAAUGAAGGCGUUGAAAUUUUCAGCAACCAAAUGGUUGCUUUACACUUCAGCGAGAGCCAAAAAUCUGGCCAUAAAAACAUUUUUUGCAAAUAUGCAAAUGUGUUCUGUGGGUUUACGGAUAGGUUAUUGGCGAAAAGUUCAAUAUUUGCGCAGCCCAUAGGAUACAGUUUUUGGUAAAAUUCGGCCCCAUAUAAGUUUUCCCCACAGGUCGUCGGUCCCUACAAGAUUUUGAUACGACUUACAAAAAUAAUCCCUUUAUCAAUUUGCUUUACAAUCUCUCCCGAUUGAUGUAAGUGAUUGUAAGAGCUGCGAUGUAUUUAAAUUGAUAAUGGAUCUGUAAGGGUUAACCUUCUAACGUGUCCUCAAAUGGUUACAAUAUUCCUUAACCUUCACGUGGCAUCUGCUGGCAGAAGAGGCAAAAUCAAUUAUACAAUAAAUUGAGGAAUUCAAUUUGCAGCCUUUUUGGCAAUUUCCGUUCAUAAAUUAAAACGAAUAAGAAUGCCCGAACAAGAGUUACGACUAAGGGAUGCCCUGCAAUCACUGCAGCACAAAAAGAAAUAAGCUGAUAAUAUAUAAAGUAGAACAAUGUACUGUAGUGCACUUGGCUUUUACAUACCACCUCUGGUGACAAAGAUACACGUCUAUUCCCCCCAAAUACCCAUCAUGAAUAUCAAUGUCAGAGAGCGAGAGUGUGGGAGAAAAAGAGAGACACAGAGGGACGGCCAGCUGGAGUGUGAGAGCCAGAGCGGAGGCAACUGAUUUCCAGGCAGAGACGUGAAUAAUUUGCAAAGAGAAUCUUUAUGGCGUUUAUAGCAUUGAUUGGAGGCACAUUUAUCAAAUUUUCUGAUUGAGGGACAUUUGUAUACCGAUCCCGAACCCAAAAACUAAGAACCCUAUGUGCUAUAGACCGUAGUUUAUGCAACAAACCAAUAAAAUCUUAUCGACCAUUUAUUUUACAACUUGUUUGAUUAAAGCAUUGGUAACGCAAAAGAGAGGUGGAAGCGGGGGAGAGAAAGAGCGAGAGUGAGUCACUGCUCCGCCAACAAUAAUGCGAAAUUGACAACGUGGCACCGGUGGCAGUGGCGGCGGCGUCAGCGGCGCUUAAACAAAUUGAAAGUCGGAUUCCACAUGAAUUUCACAGAAAUUCAAUGAGAAAUAUGGUUGAAGCCGAGAGAGGCCAAUAAGUGAAAAGACGCUUACGUAGCCUCCAACUUGAAACUCAUUACGUCACCUGGACAAGAGAGUAGCUAGCCCAAGAGAGAGAGAGAAUGCGAGAGUGAGAGAGCGUGGCAGACAGCUAGCUCUGAUAAGAAAAACAUAUUUUUGCGGUAAAAUAAAUGCACAAGAAAAAAAACAGAAAAGCAAAACCAACAGCAACAACAAAGACUGACACGCGACAAUGACGAGAGACACAGAGAGAGGGGGAGGGAGAGAGCGGGAGCGAGCACAAAAUCGAUUUGUCACAAAGUAUUUUGCGGCUUUGCUUGUGUCAUUUCAAUAUUUCAACUGGAAGAUUUAUGCAUAAAUUAGGUACUGAAAUUAAUACUCACAAUUCUUUGAUCUGCAUUUUUUCCAAAUUUGUAUUUCACUUUUCGAAAACGCUGAGAGGGAGGGAGAGAGGAGAGAGAGAGCACAGAAAUAAAUUAAAUUUGCAUUUCUCUCUUUUCCAUACAUAUUCAAUUGGAACUAUAAAUAAAUGCACUUGCACUCAAAGAGCAGCGCAGCCUUCAAACACGCAUUUUAUUCUAUAUUUAAUUUAUCUUAGCAACAAAACGGUUGCCUUGUGAGGGGUACACACCAGAAGAGGGUGCUCUUUUGUUUGGCUGCCAAAAAACUACAACAUUUACUUUUCAUUCACUUUUCAAUACAAUUUAAACGAGCGGCGUUUCAAUUUCAUUUAAGUUGGUUUUUUCUUGAUUUUUUUAAAAAACACGAGUCAUAUGCCCCCACACACACGCUGACACACAACACGCACGCACACAAACACACACAGUCGCAAAUCAGUUGGUUUUGCGGCAAAAUUUAUUCAUCAAAAUGCAGACGUACAAUAUAACUGUUUAGAUACCGUGUUUGCCUAAUCGCCGGAAAAACGUUGCGCGUCCGUACUAUUAGUUAUGUGUAUUUUGUUGUUUUUGUUGUUGUCAAAAUCAUCAAAUCCGCCCGCU